CUCAUAUUACUUACUACAUAGCUGGUUAUCCAAGUGGUCCACUUGAUAAGCAGAAUGCACUUGGGAAUACCGAGUGUAACCUUGCCUACAUAUUUGUAUUUCAUUAUAUGUAUGUUGGCGUUUGAAGAUACUGUCUCAGAUAUGGUGGCAGUGAAAAAUUAUUUUUAGAAUGCAGAAAACGAAACUGUGCCGCUCAUCUUCUACCACACACAGGCUCCGCAUAAACGGGUCACGGAUGUCAAAAUGAACCCUGAUACUCUGACAAAGCCAAAGGACAUGGGAGAGAAAAUACUCCCACAUCUAAGCACAGGUAAGGGUUUUCUGAAUAGGACUCUCAGCUAAUAGGAAAUGAGACUAAAAAUUAACAAAAAGGAACUCAUGAAAUUAAGACUUUUCAUUAAAGGAAAAGAAAAUAUCAUUUAAAUGGUAGCACAGAGAAUGUGAGAAAGUCACUGGUGCAGCAGUGACAUGGAGCUAGUGUUUAAUUAAUUUCCUUCUGAGCUGCACUGUAGGAAGGAAUUAGUACAGCACACAGUACACAGUAGCUGGUCAGAAGACUGUGGCUGCAAGGGUCAUGGCCCUUUAAGAUUAUGCUACUAGUAACUGCUUUGUAAAUGUUUCUGUUUAUCCAAAUAGAUCUCUUCAGCUGUCAGCCUUGGUCAGAGGUUCUUCUUUCUGUAGUAGGCAGCAGUAAAUGCACAGCCUGGAAACUUCAAAUGCUGAAGUAACCAUGAACGCUGAAGUCCUAAAUGGGGCAUGAAGUCCAGCCACUCACCAUAGAUUUAGGGAGCAUACAGAAAUAGGUCCUGCAUAUCAUGACUGAGGAUGAGGGGACCUGCUGUGAAAUGCUGUCUUUUGGACAUGACAUAGCCAUAGUUCACUCACAGGAGGUAUGAUCACCUACAGCUUCAGAUAAACAUCUUCAGUACUAACCUAGAAUAUAUCUAUCUAUCCUGAACCAGAGAGCUGGAAGAAAAAGCUCACUGUACCUUUGUCUUUGGAAAGAAAAUUAAAAAGGAAGCUAGAAAUUGACCAUUGGUAUUAUUUAUCAGUUCCCCCUUUCUUUACCUGUCUGCCUCCCAGGGAAGACUGUAAUUCCUAGUCUCACAAAUUAAUGAGUUUAUUGAAGUUAAUUAACAGGGAUAUAAGUGAGGGAUUACUUUCAGGAAUAUGAGUAACUCAUAUGCAGUAGCAUCACAAAGGCUCAUAUUAAAAUGGGUGACUCAUGAAAACUAGAAACCUGAGUGUCUCUCCAAGACUCAUCUCUCCGCCUGUCCUACUCACUACCUAUGUAACAUUGGGAGGGGAAGGGCCUUGUUAAUCUUGUAAGUUUCAGCUUUCCCAGCCAUGGUCUAAUGCCCAAGUCUUGCCAACCUCCUCUGUCUUUCCAUAGAACUUUCUGACCCUUCAUGAAACAGUCUUACCCAGGGAAGAGCAUACAAGUUGGAUAUCCAAUAUCAUACAUGCUAGCUAUAUAGAAUGAUCAGUUUGCAGUUAGCAAAAUACAACUGCAUGCAUAUACACAUGCAUGUAACAAUAAUUAAUGAAAAGAGAUGUCAUAAAUUAGACAAGGAUUAAGGAAGAAUGUAAGGAGGAUCUGAAAAUAUGAAAGGGAAGAGAAAAUAAUGUAAUUUUCUCAAAAAUAACAGAAAAAAAUUCAUGUGAAAGAAGGGAAAAUUGUUACACAACACUCCACCCCUUCUUUCAAACGUUAGUUGUUUCCACAAAAUCACAUUCUACCACGGAGCUCUGCAAAGGUACUAAAGUCACAGGCCAGUUCUGACAUCCCUGGUGAAGCCACCUUUUUACGUUUCACCUCUUCUGUAAGCACAGCUCCAUCGUGGCCCGUGAAUUGGCCCUAAAGCUUUGCAUCUCUCCUUCCUUCAUCAUCUCCCAGUACAUGAUAUUUGUGAGAGCUCUGCUUGUGAUAACCAAGCAUCCCCAUGCUUCCUUUGAGCCAGUCCAUCAGGAAAUGAUUCCUCUCAGAUUUCCUUAGCUUGUGUAGCCUUUAUUUCAAGGAGAUCUGAGUAAGUACACGACUCACCUUCCCACUUCUCUAGCACUCAGAUUGAUCCCAUCAAUAGUUUACCGCCUCAUGAGCCGAGCUGUGACGGGAAAUUUCCUUGAUCUUUUGAAAGUCUUUCCAACUCAAGCAGUUGAGAGACAUUGGACGCCCUGACCAAGACAGUAUCCUUCCCUUUGCAGGCCAUUUUAAGGCUCUGAAAUGCAAGUUCAAACCUAGAUUUUCCUUUUCUCUGUAUAAAAUGUUCAACCUAAGUGACAGGUACCUUCUAUCACCUUUAUUCCAAAUAGAGAAUUAUAAUUGUGUGGCAGUGUGUAGAUUUUAGGACUAAGACAUUUUUAACAAAUACUGCAUUUUUAUAUAUGAUCUUGAUUUUUUUUUAUCUUCCUCAAACUUUGUUUUAUGAUUAAAUCUAUUUUCUGGCUCUGUCCACAUAUUUCCAUUUUCAUUGAGAAAACUCUACAGAUUUUACCUCACAACAAACAUUUAUUUAGUCAGAAAGAGGUUUUGGGAACAUGACAGAGAACUAAUUGUACCAACCCAUUGUAACCAUUUCCUCUAAAUUACAUUUGUCACAUAAGGAAACAAAGAUGAGCAGUUUUUUUAAUUGUUUGUUUGUUUUUUGCAUCUCUGUAUGCUUCAAGAGGAGACAGGGACAAAUUGUUGACAGCAACCUGGGUUUCUCACACUUCAAAUUUUUCCAAGUAUUUAAAUGACUUAAAAAGUACUCCUGUACUUUUUAAUACAAUAUUUUUAAAUGUGUUGCUCUGAAUUACAUCUGAUAACUUUUGAUUAAUAUGAUGGUAUGUAUUUUCCUGUGCAAACUGAAAUGAAUUGGUUUGACAGUAUGUCAGAACACAUCAGAAAACACUUAAUUUUAAACCUCCUCUGGUAUUUAUCUUAAUUUGUUGCUACAAAUCUGUCUGGGAUAAGGGUUCUGACUGAAGUACCAUGUUUUCUAAAACAGUUCCGAUUUCCAAAAGUUUAUAUUAGUAGUAGAGCGUAAGCCUUAGUUUUUUAUUUGAACUCCGUGGUGAACUGUUUCUUAUCACAUUACAAACAAUAGGAAAAGUGAGCUCAAUUUGUCAUAAAGAAUUUUAAUCUGUACAUGACAUUCUUAAAGAGCCAAUGCUAUUUUAAGCAGGACCCAGAAGUAUAGACUCUCCAGUGUCCUUCCCUGAAGGAGCUUGCACCUGCAGAACUACAUCUCCUUUUCAUUCCCAGUCAUUCCUGCUAACUAGUUCUGGCCUUCAGGAAAGUCAUUUAAAUAACCGUGGUUUCAAGCAUUUUCAUUCAUAACAGGAAAUUUCCAGCUCCUGUUGCUUUGAGACAGUCACUGUGCUAAUGUUCUGAUUUCUAUUGCUCUUGUUGGACUACUUUUCUUGAAAAGGGAAUGCUAAAAGAAGAUAAAUUUACAACGGAAAACAGUUUCUUACAUUCAGAUGUUUAAGCCAGUGGAGGAAAAGAAGAUCCUUCAAUGCUGUUGCUCUGGGUUUUUCAUCAGCACUGUUUCCCUUAAACCACGUGAGCACUGGUAAGACAAGGAAAACAGCACAGCUUGCUGGUAAACCCUUGGAUCUCCCGUUUAUUGUUUAGGCUAUUUGAUUUGGAUCCAUGUACAAAAGAAUAAACAACAAUGAAAUCCCAACUUCCAGACCCAACACCUGAAACCUCAUCCCGUUUCCAGCCCUGUUUCCUCUUGAUUUUGUUUACUUUUUUAAAAUGCCAGGUUAAUCGCUAAUUUUUAUUUUUAUUAUUUUUAAUUCUGUACAGUGUAUGUAUGUGGGUAUGUUCACACGAGUGAAAGUGAGGCCAGAGAGGCCAGAGGCAAUGGAUUUUCGGGAGUGGGCAGAAGUCACAGGCAGUUUUGAACUGUUUGGGGAACGGAUCUUGGGUCCUCUAUACUCCAUACAGAGUAAUCCAUCUUAACCUUGGAGGCAUCUGUUCAGCCCCUGCUUUCAACCUUAUUAAAAUUGCCCAUCAGGUCCAGCACAGUAGCAGACACCUAUAAUCUCAGGCACUCAGGGAGCUGAAGAAGAUGACUGUAAAUUCCAAGUUAGUGCCAGCUGCAAAUCUCUGGGACUUCGAGGCCACUUGGUUUACAUAGAGAUUUCUGUGAGUUUAGAGGGCGGCCCUGUCUAGGUAUAAAAAUCCAGGGGCUAUGUAGAGAGACCCUGCCUCAAAUGAUAGUUGAUAGAUAGAUAGAUAGAUAGAUAGAUAGAUAGAUAGAUAAAUGGAUAAAUAGAUGAUAGAUGACAAAUGAUAAAUGAAAAAGUUAAAUAAACGUGGACAUAAAUUUAAUUAAUUUGGAACAAAACAAACAAGGAACAGCAGUGCUGGUGAUCUGGCCUACAGUCCUAAGCAUCACCCUCGCCCUCAGGGCCUGAAGCCCUAGGCCCCAUCCUCUCAGUUUUGCAUAAACUGGUGUGCUGGCCCAUGCCUAUAAUCACAGCACUCAGGAGCUGGAAAGAGGAAAACCAGCCCUACGCCCUCCCUACACACCGCGGGUUGGUAAGUGGCCCCGACACUGGAUGCGUGCUCUGCUGUACCAAGUCCAGUGUUCCUAUGCUCCCCUCCCAGACACACCCCGAAGAAACUUUAUUCAGGGUGACCCAGAGCCCACACAAGCCCAGAUACAAAAAAAUUAACAAUGAUGAUAUUCUUUUUUGUUGUUAUUGCUGGCAGUUUCUGUUCUUAAGUACCUCCAAGAAGUAUGCUUUCUUUGAUCAGAAUACCUUAAAGAUAAUCAAGUAUUUUUCAGUCAAAAUAGGGAAACUAGCACAUGUAAAAUUUUCACCACUGUCUUUGUUUCGUCUAAGAAGCUCCUCAGACAUAACUCUGAAAUACUAAAAUGGAUAACAAAAGCUUGUGAACAGCCUGUUUGCACUCCCACCUGUUGUGACUCUGUCUUUCACAGUCACUGAACGAUCUUACACCUUGGUGAAUUGUAGAAAACCUGAGAGAAAGCCAGAAUGCUCAUCUGUACAUGGAAGUAACAGGAUGUGAGCUUUCAGCCUCCUGUUCCCGCCGCCAUGCCUGCCUGCUGCCCUCACUCCGACAUACCGGACUCGAAGCCUCUGUAACUACAAGCCAAAAUAAACAAUUCCUUCUAUGUG